UAAAUCUAAUUUAGGAUUAUAUUUUGUUUUAUUGCAAAAAAUGAAAUGAAAUGGUCAGCCCUACCCAUUUAAAGACAUGCUGUGUAUAUUUGGGAGUUAGGUGGGGAGGGGUUCAGUUAAAAAAAAUUUGUAAUUUUAAAAUUUUUUAUUUAAGUGUAAAUAAAAACAAUGUCAACAAGCAAUGGUUAUGUUAAAAAAUCUCAUCGUAAAGUUUUUCUUGUUGGAAAAAGAAUCGGAACAAUACCUAUCACACAAUUGCCAACUAAAAGAACUGUAUUGCAAUAUUACCAUUACAGAGAUCUUAUGUUAAGAGCUGAUUUUUCAAACAUUUCAUCAGUUAGUAUAGCUUCAUGUCCACUUGGUGAUUUCUUUACUGCACAAUGUGCUGAAAUAGGUGGUUGUCUCCAAAAAUGUUUACCAUGCGUCCUUUACGAGGUGAAUUUGGCAAAAAGCAAAAUUUGGCAAAAAGCAGGAAUUCCUUUUGUUAACACUGACAAGCAUAUCAGAGACAAGAUUGUUGACUUAGAAAAGAAGAGAAAAGAUUUAAAGAAAUACAGAAACCGUUUAAUUAAAAAUUUAGUUUUAAAAAGAGAAACUUUGUCAAGAAUGCUAGAGGAAGUAUUCGAUGUAAGUCAAAACAAUUGUGAACAUACUAUUAUGAAAGAUAAAACUAAAGAUUUAAAAACUAGAAGAGAGGAUGUAGAUUUUCUUAACGACCAGAAAGGAGCACGUGUUCAGAAAAUUUAAAUACUUUAGAUAAUGACCAAGAUGAACAGUAUCUACAGCCUUCUAUAAAAAUUAAAAAAUCUAAUGCUGUUCCUCUUAUAGUUCCUAAAAAUAUAGGAAAACAGAAUCACGAUAUGGAAUAAGUUCGACUGCACUGAGUGCAACUCUUGCUUCUCUUAUGAAUAACAGUUCUGGAACAACAGAUGAUUUUUCUAUUUCUAAAUGAAGUAUUUUGAGGCAGAAAAAAUAAAGUAUAAGUACAACUGCCUGUAAAAUUAAAGACAACUUUAUUAUAUUGGCUAAGUGUAAAAGUCUUACCUUGCAUUUUGACUCUAAAAUUAUGGUAGAACUGAGAGAAAUUAGUAAAGAAAAAGUUGAAAGAUUAGCUGUGCUAAUCAGUUCACCAGAUCUUUCAGAAUCCCAACUUUUGGGUAUUUUAAUUGUGAAAGAUUGCACUGCUAAGUCUCUUGGGACAGCAAUCAAAAAAAACUUUACAAGACUGGGAGCUAUUUGACUAUUUAGAUUGUCUGUCCUUCGACACCACAGUCACAAAUACUGGUUGGAUAAAAGGAGUCUGUACUCUUAUUGAGCAGUGGAGAGGAAAAGUUUUGAUUUGGAUGGCUUGUCGUCAUCAUGUCUACGAAUUACAUAUAAAGCACUUUUCAAGUGUUCUUACUGGAGGUAAAACAAGUGGACCAAAGACUGAGUUAUUUGAAAGGCUAAAGUGUAAUUGAAAAUCGAUUCUUGAAAAGAAGAUAAAUUAUGAUAACCUAAAGAGAUUUGACUCAGAAAAAAAAAUUAAAUCUUUUUUGGAAAAGCAGGCUUCUGAAUCAUUAACAUUCCUUCAAAAUUGCCUCGAUAAUGAUAUAUUUCCAAGAAAUGACUACAAGUAUUUUAUACAGUUAGCAGUUCUUUGGUUAGUUGGCAAAGUAAAAGAUUUUCACUUUAGAUUUCCAAUGGUUUCACAUCAUGCCAGGUUUAUGGCACAGGGCGUUUAUUAUUUAAUAUACGACAUUCUACAGCCACAAUUCAGUAACUUAUGUCCUGAUAUAAUAUCAUUACAAGAGGGAAAGCUGAUUCAUGAAAUUGGUUCAUUUACAGCAAUAUUUUAUGUUCCAUGGUUUAUUAAAGUUCCUAUCUCUGCCAUAGCACCUUCUUUAGAUCUAAAAGCCAUUAAUGAAAUGAUACAAUAUUCUUAAACCAGCAGAGGCCGUACUAAAGUCACUUGAAAAACACAAUUGGUAUUUAAAUGAAAGAUUUGUGGUUAUGUGUCUUGCUGAUAAAUGCUUACCUGUAGAUCAGCUACAUAAAUUAGCUCUUAAAUUAGCUCAAACAGCAAAGCCUACCAGUUAUAAAAUGGGAAAACUAUGUUCAGAAAUUUUUACUGACAAUGAAAAAAAAAAAUAACAAAAAGAAUUGAAGAUUUUAUUGGUCCUUAAAGCUGGUUUUUCUUUGAUUUACUUAAAAUGACAUUACAUGAGACAGAAUGACUGAAAAUCAGUUCAUCAAACUGGGAAACAUGUUCAGGUUAUAUAAGAUUUAAAAAUUAUAUCACUGGUCUUCUUGUUGUAAAUGACAGUGCAGAACGUGCAAUUAAAUUUGGUCAAGACUUUAUUGAAACUUUCCGAAACGAAGAAGAUAACCUAGCUAAUUUACUGGUUGUUGCAUCGUCUAAAAUUUCAGACAAAAGAAAAAAAAUCUUGGUUGAAAGCUUUAAAAUAACUUUUCUUUAAAAAAUAAAUACAAAUGUAAAAAAAAAAUUAUUUAAAUUGUAAGAAAAAAAUUUUACUCCCCCCCCCCCCCCACCUCCUAUAUAUACAUGUCAUACACAAAUUAAACCUUUCAUGGUAAAAAAAAGUCUCUUUUAACAGUUUUGCUACCUUGACAAUUAAGCUACAUUUUAUUGUUGUAGAAAGUUAAAACAAUUAAACUAAUG